AUAGAUCUGAUUUUGCACUUCCUUCUCCUGCUGCCUGUUUUUUCUGCUGCUAAGACAAUCAGCUGAAGGUCCAGAAAAUUAAUGAUUACAGUUAUUGUGGGACAAGAACAAGAACAAUGAUUCAUGAACACCAGGACAACAAACAACAAAAACAAACAAAAAAACAACCAUUAAUGCAUUCAUCUUUCCUGCAGCUAUCAGAUCCUGAUGAUCAGAGCUGAGUGAGCAGCAGAGAGAGUUACUCAAGCAGAGGCAGAGCCAGGUUCUGAACUGGCCCUGGAUGCAGAUGCUUCUUGGAGACUAGUGUGAAAAGGGCUGCCAACUUGUGUCCCCACCUCCACUUUUUCAGCACUACUAAGCAAGAACAGGAGCCCCCAGCAACAUCACUUUGGACAUCCACGCACAUGGACAGAACGUGGUGAAGGAGCCCUGGGGAGGGAGGAGAAUGGAGAAGACCUGCCCAAUGUUCCUCCACUUUCCCGUGCAGCUCAACUCUGUUUUUAAUAGCGAAGUACCUUCUCCCCUCUGUCCUCCUCCCUAACCCCCUAAAAGAAGAACAUUUUUCCUAGCUUCUCCAGACUUCACACUGUUGAAUGUUACUUGUGAUUCAUGCUGUUACCUUGUGCAGUACUCCAGGAAAAUAGACCAUGGACAGGCUCUGUCAGGAAGGGUUUUGUAAUGGAUGUGUCAUUUCUCUUGUAUCUAUAUUAAAGACAAAAUCCUGUGAUGGCUGAUGAAUUUGUAGACCCCAUCUCUCUGAAAUCACAUUAGCUGCUCAGAACAGGAAGGCUGCUUUUCUUUCAGGCAAUGAUGAUAACACUUUCCUGGAUGCAGGUCGAAAAAUAUUUACAUCAAUAUAAAUAAGCAGUGUGUAACUAUAAAUAAAGAACACAGGUAAUAAAAUGUUAUCAUUGAAGUUGAGAUUAAAAUUGAAUCCUGCCAAGCCCUAAACAUAGAUCAUGAUAGACAAAUCCAAUAUACCUUUUUUUUUUUUUUCGGUGGUGCUGUAAUUAUAGACUAGGUAAAGAAAAAAAGAUUAUACAGCAGACAUAAUUUGUAAUGAUUUCAGUAACAUUUCUGAGGUAAUGCCAUGAGAAGCAAUGACUACUUGUGCAUGCUUCUCCACAAGUGUACAUAUCCCCCCACCAAGACAUGCACUUGGAUUUCAACCAGAGCAUGCUGUGAGCUGGCUAGCUGCAGUCUGCUUGGCUGGGUCACCUCUGCCAGAGCUGUCCUUUCCCUGACACUGCAGCCUGAUGCCCUGACCAAUGGAAGCUCUUGCUGUAAGAUCCAAAGACAAAUGGAGAAGCAGUUCCCAAACCUGGAGAGAAGUCCUAUGUGACCAACAGUCAGGUGACAGCCCACAGAACGCGUCAACAUGGUGCUGUAGCAUGGGGUCAUCACUUGAUGGAGUGUUACCCACUGCCUACGCACCCCUCACCAUCGUGGCUCCCUAGGAGCAGCUAACAGAUGUUUUGGGGGUUUGUUAUUGGCACAGAUCCUGCUCUCCUUCUGACUAGGGGGGAUGGGUUCCUGGGUGGGUUCCCCUCCUUUCUAGCAGGGUGUUUAUCCAUACUGUAUCUAACUGCUGGCUGGAUAUCAGCUCUUCCCAGAGUCUUCUCCAGGCUGAACAGCCCCAGCUCUCUCAGCCUGUCCUCACAGGGGAGGUGCUCCAUCUCUUGGAUCAUUUUUCUGGCCUUCCAUUGGACGUGUUCCAACAGCUCCACAUCUCUCAUAGGAAGCAGCCACUUCGUGGCAAGGGCCUGGUCUUAGCCCUGUGUCCUCCACCGGAUGAGGUAGGAAAAGGUUUGCAUCCAUGAGCAGCAUGGUUUGGCAUGGAAAAGCACAGAUGGGCUCAGAAACAGUCUCCAAGCUGCUCUUGACAAGGUAGGAGGCAUUCCUUUUAAGUUAACCAGGAAUGGAGGCUCACACUGACUCUCUGGAAAUCAAGGCUUGAGGCCAAAAGCAAACUCUGGUAUCUCAACAGAUGAAAAUAGAGCUUUAAAAAAUAAGAACAUGUCACAGAAUUAAAUGAGAACCACAAAUUUAGCAAGUCUGGUGACUUCCCAAGAGAAGUUGAGGAGAAACGUAGAGAAAACACUUCUUUUUGAGACACAGUGAAAUGAAUUACUAGUCCCUUCUGUAAAAUCUGUUUAAGUCUUGACUGUUGGAUAUUUACUUUCAAAGAAGUCAGCUUCCACUGCAGUCUGCUGAAGAGCCCUAACUUGACUGUGCAGAUGCAAUUACUGAAAAUGAAUCUGUCAGAGAAAUAUCAUGUAAACAAGGAGUUCUGCUUGGGCUCUCCUCCUGAAGCCAUCUUUGCCUCAGGGAUAACCUAAGCCAAUGCUUCGCAAACCCAGUGGGAACAAGCAACACAGGCACAAGGCAGACUGUCUAAGAAGGUUAGUAAAACUUCAAAGUGUUAGCCAUGAGCUGGUAAUUGGUACCUGGGAGCCAGCCAUCCACAGGGAACAUCAAACAGAGUUAUUUUUGGCUCUCCACAAAAAAAUGUCAGGAUAAUUUUAUUUGGGUUCCAUUUCAGAACACCAGCAGCCCCUGAUGGACAACAAACUCCUGGUGCUUCUGCACCUUGAUGCACUCAUGGGUGUUUAUUUUGACAGGGGGUUGACAGCAUUUCAGUGCAUAGUGCAUCACAAGUGAUUUGUAAGGUGAGUUCAGCCUGAUAGUGGGUUCCUCUGAGCCCAGCCCAGUGCAUUGGGUUUCAGAGCAACAAGAUCCCUCUGCCACUAACUAGACCUCUCUGCAAUUGUGCCUUUCUUCUCAUAAUAGAGAACUUAUCCCCCACAGUUCAUCCUUUCUCUUUGAUCUGCGCAUGUUUCUGUAGGCAAUUACACAUUAAUAUAUCAAAGGCUAUUGACAAUGCCAAGAAAUGGGUAUGCUAACAUUCUUGUUUAAUCAUACAUGGGUUUGGGUGUUAUUUGUUUUGUUUUGUGUGUGUGGCAUGUUUUGUUUUGUUUUAGUAAGAUUGACAGCAGAAUCUUGCAGUUAGAAGCCAGGCACUGGAACACGAGGUCAUUUUGAUUUCUAUGAGAUGAGAGUUACAGCUGGAAUUCUGGAUUCGGUUUCCACCUCUUCUCCAUACCUUCGCUGUGCUUUUAGCACAGUGUGGCCAGGUACCCAGGUGCCUAAAUUCCAUAGCCUGAAAAUUUUGCUCAAGGGACUGCUGUUCACCAAGACUGCAGCAUAUGUUUCCUUCAGCCCUUGUUCUGCACAGCAAAAGCACAUGGGAGCUCACUGAACCAUAGCACAUGAUUAACUUCAGGCACAUGUUUCAGAGCUUUCCUGAAAAAGGAUGAGUUGUUACUCAGAGCAACCGCUUUCUCACUGUUCCUUCUGUGAAACGGGCAGAAAAUGGGCAGGUAUUGCCUUUCUACCACCUCUAACUGAAACACUCUGCAUACUUUUGCUUCCCAAAGUUUGCAUGGCUCAAAUAAAAAUGCUUACUUGAAAGUUCAGGCUUGUCAAUGAUUUCUGACUGUUUUUUAAAGAAGGUAAUGGUGUUUGUUUCUUUUACUUUUCCAUGAUCAUUCAAGUGUUGGUAAGGGCAAAUUUUGAGCACAAGUUUUAUAUUUCUCGGGAAAUGAACAUAUUUCACUUGCUUUUCUAAAAAUAUCAUACUUUCAACUUUCAGUUGUUUAUCCAAAUAUUCCUAUUCCCCACUGUAUUCUGAACAUUUGAUCUAUGUGAGGCAAUGCUCUGUUUAACCUUGCUUGUACUGAAAGCAAUAAAAUAUAAAAUGAAUAGGUGGAAAGGGAUAGUAAAUCCCUACUGAGAAAUUAUCUGGCAGUUUCUGAGUCAUGGGAAGAUAUCAACAAAGUGAAAUUUAUUUAAUAUUGAUGAAUGGGACAGUAAUGCACCUAGGGAGAAAUAACAGCAAUCAACACAGAUAUUUAGGAGACAUUAAUAUAGAAAAAGACCUUGGGGUUGAAGCGGAUAAUGAAGUGCAUAAGAGCUCACAUUGCAAAACAAGCAAUUGGUGUUCCAGAGUGUGCAGUGUCAAAAGAGAUCUGCCAUGCAGCAAAGUGAGGGAUAACUGCGGUAUCACUCAGCCUGGGUAAGACUGGAGCUGGAGUGGGGUAUGAAUUUUUCAGCCUCCUUUUUUUAAGAAGACACAGGAAAGUGGAAGAGAAGUAAAAGACGGGUAGCAGAAAUGACAAAGAGAGCUGCGGGCAUUGCGUGUGAAGGCGCAACGGAAAGUAAUUCAUUUGGCAGGAGGGAGCAGCGCCAGCCCUCCUGUCUGCGUGCUGUGUGAAUGGACUUUCCCUGCAGCAGCAAUGGUAAAAGGGUCUCAAAUUAAAAAUGGAACAACUCCAUUUAGAUACAAGAGAAAUGACUUAAUACUAAGGACUGUUACACGGGCAAUGGAGUAAGCUGGCUGGUGAGCAGCUGAACACGAGGCACUGUCAAUAGAAGGUUUCUGGGGUGAGACUGGAAAAAGUGCCAGUGGGAUUACAGCAGAAGAGGCUUCUCAGCAUGAGCAUGGCUAACACAAAGGUCCUUUGCUGUCAUUUUCAUCGACACUUCUGGGAUCUCAAAGGAUGUACACAAUAAAAGAGACGACGUCCAUUUUUUUUAAUGAAAUCCAUCUGCCACGCUCAGUAAGACUACACGGUGACUGGGACGAGAGGUGCAGCCAUACAAGACUCACCCCUGUAUCCCAUCUGCUUUCCAAGCAUUCACAGGAGUGGGCCCAGGAGCUGAAGAUGCUGCAGAGGUGGGUUAUAGCCAUGUGCAUUUUCAAAGAAGUUGGCACAGCUCCUGCCCAUUUUGAAACAUUUGCUUCUGGAAUUUGUAAUGCUUGUACCAGUUAAAUACUAGAUUAUCAUAAGUGUAAUUUACAUGUUUCCCAAGUAAGGGAAUGCGAGUGGAGAAGAGAAUU